rnacentral:lncRNA from 1 species
AUUUUUGUGUCCCCCCAAAAUUCAUAUGUUGAAAUUCUCACCUGCAAGGUGAUGUGUAUUAGUCCGUUUUCACACUGCUGAUAAAGACAUACUUGAGACUGGGCAACUUACAAAAGAAAGAGGUUUAAUGGACUCACAGUUCCACAUGGCUGGGGAGGCCUCAUAAUCACGGUGGAAGGUGAAAGACACUUCUCACAUGGCAGUGGACAAGAGAAGAGAACUUGUGCGGGAAACUCCCCUUUAUAAAACCAUCAGAUCUCGUGAGACUUAUUCACUAUCACGAGAACAGCACUAGAAAGACCCACCCCCAUGAUUCAAUUACCUCCUACCUGGUCCCUCCCAUGACACAUGGGAAUUGUGGGGGCUAUAAUUCAGGAAGAGAUUUGGGUGGGGACACAGCAAAAACCAUAUGGUCAUGGUAUUAGAAGGUGGGGCUUUAGGAGGUGAUUAGGUCAUGAAUGUGGAGCCUUCUUGAAUGGGAUUAGCACCCUUAUAAAAGGGACCCAGAGAACUCCCUCACCCCUUCUAUCAUGUGACAAUGAAGUGAGAAGGCACCACCUAUGAACCAGGAAGUGGGUCUUCACCAGACGUUAGAUUAGCCAGUACAUUUACCUUGGACUUCCCAGCCUGCAGAACAGUGAGAAAUACAUCUCUGUUGUUUACAAGCUGCCCCCUCUAUGUGUUUUGUUAUAGCAGCAUAUAUGGACUUAGACUAGCCUUGUUAUAAUGAGACAAUGGUGAGAACCUCUUUUGGAGAGGAAGGUGUGGAAGGCCUGUCUGAGGAGACGACAUUUAAGCAGAGAUCUGGAAGAUACACAGUGAGAAUUCCAGGGAAAGAGAGGAGGGAAUCAUUUGUGCAAAGGACCUGAGGCAAGAGGAAAGACCUGAGGCAGUUCCAGGAAGUGCCAGGAGGCCGAUGGUGCUAGAAGGAAGAGGAGCAUGGUGAGAGUGAGGUCAGAGAUGAGCCAGUAGGGCAGGCAUGUGGCCACCAAAGAAUGUGAACUCAUUCUAAACUCGUUGGGACGUGAACUGGUGACGUGCCUGGAGCUAAGAUGGCUCUGGCCCUGUGUGGAGAAUGGGUUGAAGGAACACAGACGCAGCAGCAGAACCGGUCCUCAUCCUUGAACCAGGUGAGAACUUCUAGCUUACUGGGUAAAGUCCAAUUAACGUGGUGCAGAAUUCCAUCCAUGGCAGGGCUCCUGCUGUCUCCAGCCUCAUCUCCAGGCACACCCUGCACCCUUGAGAAGACAAUGCUUCCGUGUCCACCAGUUCAUUCCUUCCAGACACAUCCCAGUGGUGUCUAGCUCAGGUCUCAGCUCCUGGAAAGGGACAAGGACGCCCCAGAGUCUGCUUUUUUGACACUUACCUUCUGGUCCCCCUGAAAAAUCAUGCUGCAUCACGCCUGCACAUUGUCCUUUCUGCGGAAAUGUCCUGUCUCCCCAUCUCUAUCUGCCAAAGACCCACGCAUAAUGCAAACAAUUCAGGUUUCACCCUUUGCAGUGAACUUUGUACAGCUCUCCCAGGUUGUACAACUUCAAUCGUCCGGCAGGCCCGUGAGCACCUUCGGUGUGACAGUCUGUUCAGCACUGGGGCUAUAAAGAUAAACAAGACAAAGUCCAUGUGCUCAAAGAGCUCUCCGUCUGUGAUCCCAGAGAGACAUCUGGACAGAGACGUCAAAAUACAAAACAAUAAAUUCUGGACAGAGCAGUGUUUAGCAUGAAUCGUGAUCUGGAGGACAAAGACACAGUCCUUGCUGUCACGGAGCUCACCAUUGAGGGAUGCCCACAGGCAGCUGAAAUACAGCGGAAGUGAUAAAUCUUUAACAGAGGGUGUUUUACUCGGGGCACCCAGAAAAAAAUGAAAUUUUAACUGCAGAUUCAGGAAGUUAUCCAUGAAAAGGCGGCAGUUGAUUCCAAACUCCAACAAUGCGCUGUCAAGGCUCAUGGGCUGGCUGAGACCGUCACUUCAGGCAGAGGAUGUAGCGUUCUGAGGGGAAGAAAAAGUUUUAAAAAGAAACUUCCAGAGACACUGUCUUGAUGCAAGGAGUAAACAUAAAGUACAAAUCUGGAACACAGCGUCAGACUUAUUAGGAAAGUUACUCGGAUCAGGGCCUCUGAAAUCACCCAGACCCGAGCUCCGUAACUGCUCUGGUAUAGAGCUGGGCUCUGUGCUAUGGAGACAGUACUGACAUUUCAUCUUCCCGAGGCACGUCCCCUGGCUCCGUGAUGUGGCCGUACAACAAGCCUGCCCUUUGUUACGGUGUGUGCACACAUGUAAGUGCUCUCGACAAAUCUGUGUUCCUGCCUCUCCUCCAGUGCUUCUCAGGCAACGACGUUACCCUUGGCCUCAAGGAAAAAAAACAGACACCGUUGGUUGGAGAUUACUGAGUAAACCUACAACGUCCUCAUGCUUAAGGCCCCGUCUGUGAUUCCACCAUGAAGAGCCGUGGAGUCUAGGUCUAUGCCCAAGAGAGAUGCAUGAAAUGUUUUACUGGUUUCUGCAAAUAAGCCAGACCAAGGGAGAAACAGACCUUCAGCAAGUAGUAACCAAAUGCAAGUUUUGAGAAUGUGGAGGGAGAGGAGCUUCUGCCCCUGCAAACUGGGCAGUGCAUCCAAGGUCUCCUGCUAACAUCUGUCACUCAUCGGAGCCACCUGAUCUGAAGCGUUGUCAGGGUCAGUAUUUUUGUUCUGCCUGCUGUUUUGCUAAUGGAUCAAUGGCAGUCAGUAAAGAACAAACCGUGCCAGAAAAGAAUGUCCUCUUCUUCUCAGCUGACUCAGCUCGGGACAGGAAGACAGGGGGCAUCUGGCAUUUGGGGAAGCCCUUGAUUGUCCCUUAGGAAAUAACUGAAAAUGGAUUUGUGUUGGCCUGGUUCUAAGAAGGUCACCCAGGUUGAAUUUGAAAAGCAGAGGCACUGUGUCCACAAAAGAAAGUGAUAAGCAGCAAGCCAUUUCUCAAAGCUAAUGCCCGAGUGUGUACCACCGGGAUCCAUUUUAUAUCUCUCUACAGAUUGGUGUGUUUUUCAUGACAACCAUCCCCAUAGCAACCAGGUGUCCAGGCACUAAAUUGAUCUCAAGGAUAUGAAAUCUCAGCCUGGUGAGGGAAGCCCACUCUGACUGCAGUUUCCUUGGAGUCGUUUCACAUCGAGGGCUGGUGUGCAGGUCAUGGGGAAUGGGGCUUCUUCCUGAGGGCUCAGCUGGACACAAGGGACAGCCCUGGUGAGAGGGGAGCCUUUCCUUUUUCAUGUUUACUAAUAAUCCAGAAGAAAGGGUAAGAAACUGGUAAAUCAAAUUCAAAUGAAACUAAAUGGGAAGAUGUUGCAAACGCCAGUUGGAUGGAGGAAAUUAUGUGGACAGCCACGGAAGAAAUGACCACGUAAGACCUGCCCUGGAAAGGCCACAGUUGGAACCUCUGGGAGCCAAUAUUCCAAAGCAAGAAGCUAGAAGAGAUUUACCAAGCAGAAUUAUUUGAGGAGAUUGGGGCGAGGGAGAGAUGAUAAUUAAGCUGAAAAAAAGGGACAUUACAGGGUGCGCAGAGCUGAGGGCCGUGCAGGGAAGGGGCAGAGCAGUUCUAGCUGGACGAAAGCUUAGGUCUUGGUCAGGGAAAUGAGGUGCUCCCAUGGAUUGUCCAGGUGAGCCCAGAGAGCGCACCCAGGGAAGAAUGUUGAGGGCAUGGGGGGUCAUAGGAAGGAGUGAGGGAGAGCCCACACAACAGUAUCCUCUUAAGGCAGCUCAUGCUCGCCCAGAGGCAGCUACCUGCCAUCAGGCUGUCCCUAAGGUCAGCCUUGCUAAUGCUGAGCCCCUGCCUUCCACAGUUACCCUGUCCUGGGGCUUUGGUGAUGGUCCUCCUCACCUCAACAGUGAUGGACAAGGGCUCCUUUUGCUUUGAAGUGAUGCCCACGUGCUUACUGCACAAGGAGGGCAGGGAAGAGCCAGGAAGGGAGGAACCGCCACGCCAGCGGGGACAACGUGACGACACGGAACAAAGGGACAUGCCGUUGGAAUCCUAGGAAGAAGUUUCUUAAGUGACAUCUAAAUAGGCUGCAAAUGGCCUUUUCGAGGGAACUCCCAUCCCUGUGAUAAUCUAAACCAGAAUCGGAUGAGAUGGGGUGGACCGCAUCUCGGGAGGAGCACAUGGGUGUGAGGGAGGAGGGACGUGGCAACCUCAUGCUCCCUUCUCUCUGUAAUCACUCUGUCAACCCACGAUUCUGGGAGGGGAGUAUGAAAUGUGUGGUUUGUCUAUUGCAUGAAGAUAUUUGGAUCCCCCAAAUCUAGGUGUGUCUGGAAGAAAGCUGCCCUCUCCCAGAGGAAAGCUGGGGGUUAAAUCCAUAACUGUCAGUGUGUCUGGCAACAAAAUAAAAGGAAACCACAUUCUCCAUGAAUGAAGGGAGAAGCAGGAAGGAGGUAGUUUUUUCUUUUUUAAAAACAUGAAUAAGAUCCUCCAAUAUGUUUGAGAUUAUUGAGCAAAUUCUUUGAAAAGGGCCCUGGGUCACUAACCAACAGAUUGUGGAUGUAGAAACCACAUUCUUCCAACUUCCCUUCCCAUCCUGACCCCAGAGAUAGCAGGUUGGGUAUGCUGGGGGUCUUUGUUUAGUUAACCAUUAACAAUUCAUAAAAGUGCAGAUCCCUGCACGAUAAGUCCAGUCCUUGGAAUGUUAUUAGAAAAUCCUAUUUCUAGUCUGUUAUGAAACAGAGGUUUUGAUGUGCUGCCAGGUUUAUGGGGAACUCUGGAAACAACACUUGCUUCUCUGAGAAGCUGAGGCUGGGUGGGUGUUACAUAAAGCUUUCCUAGCAACUUAGCUUUAUCACAGAAUGGGAGGCUGCAGUGGAAAAUAUCAGACGAGUUAAUGCAAAACCUGAGCCAACCCACUAUCCCCAUUUGCUCUAAGGCCAGCCAGCAAAUCUGUGGGAGUGAUUUUAACCCACGGGGGAGCGGCAGGCCUAGGGCUCCGGUUGACUGCAGAUUCAGCCCAAGAAUGCUCGGGCAGCUCAGAGCUGAAAGGCACCUUCAGACAGACCUCACGGAAGGCAAAACAGCUCUUCUUGACUCUGAACCAAUUGCUGAUUGAAAUUCACACAAACACACCUUCCUUUUCCUUCUUUGGGUCAUUCCCAGUUUCUCCGGGCACUGCAGGAACAAAGGGGAGUAAGGUCACUUCGUCGAAUCCCUGCCAAGGGAAAUGCGUCUAAUGCAUGACGGUGUCUCUGAAGUCAAUGGAUAAGAAUCUCAUUUCUAAACUCUUGGAUCCAAAAGUAUGCCUCUUAGGAUGGAAUCCUUCUGUGGUGUUGGUUGACAGCUUUUUGGGUUUUCUGAAAAGCAUGUGUCCAGUCCAUUGUUUUUAAUCUCCCAGGGCUGGCGUGGGGGUGGAAGGAGCUGGAGGAAGAAACCAUGCAAAAAUCCAUUUGGAAGCUGCAAAUCAAAGCUAAUAGCCUCUCCUGAUCUGCUCACACACGGUGCCCAACCGGUGUUGUAGAGAGGAAGAGGAAAAGAUUCCCCAGACAUGAGGACAAGUGUAAGGCGAAGGGCUGGAAAGGGGAGGGGAGCUCGUGUCAAGAGGGAGCUGGAACUCAAGUGGGGAGAGGAAAGGCAGUGGGAGAGAAGAGAGCUCCUUCGUGGGCGGCCUCUGCGACAUCUGCCCCAGGGGCCUAACGCCUCCCUCUGUGAUGUCUCUGCACCCAGGCUCUGUUGCUGCUUCCUCAACCAUUAUUCUCAUUUGGGAAGGGAAAGAGUGGUUUUAUAAAACCGGUGUCCACGUGAAGGCAGCCAUCCAGUUGGUGGAGAAAUUUUCCCCACAUAAAUUAGAUUACUCCAAGUCUAGAUGGUUCCUAGCCCCUAGUCCUUCUCGCUGAAGACGGUACAAGGAGGGUGGCAAGGCAGAGGUCUGGAGGGAGAAGAGUAAAAAGCUCCUUGUUUGCGUUAAAACAAACAAACCCCAAGAUAUGCCAGUUGUUUCAGAAGGUGAAUUCCUACUUCAGGUAGUCCUUAAGAGUCACCAGAAAUCCAGGAGCGAAACUGCACUGAGAUUCCAUUAACUGUGAAAAAAAAUAACAAAAUAAACGGGCCACACAAAAAGAAGAAAACCGGCCUGCCCAACGAGGGCUGCGGAGUGCAGCCAGAGUCCCUUGUACCAGUAGAUCAUAUUGUGUCCAUUUAAUAAUAAUAAGAAGGGGCACCCUCCGCGGAGGCUUCACCCAAGGAGUCCUGUCCCACCCGCAGGCUCGGGCGCCCGCCUGCAGACCUCGGACGCCGGCCAGCGUCUUGUCGUGCAAGGCCGUCCACAGCCAGCAUGGCCUUAAUGAGCCCAUUUCAAUUGAAAUGAGAUCAAUACUACUCAUUUUUCU